rnacentral:snRNA from 1 species
GUGCUCGCUUCGGCAACACAUAUACUAAAAUUGGAAUGAUGCAGAGAUGACUAGCAUGGCCCCAAAGACGGCAAGAAAAACAUCAAUGUCCAUGAUGUUUAA